UACGUAGGGUGCAAGCGUUGUCCGGAAUUAUUGGGCGUAAAGAGCUCGUAGGCGGUCUGUCGCGUCGGCUGUGAAAACCUGGGGCUUAACUCCGGGCUUGCAGCCGAUACGGGCAGACUAGAGUUCGGCAGGGGAGACUGGAAUUCCUGGUGUAGCGGUGAAAUGCGCAGAUAUCAGGAGGAACACCGGUGGCGAAGGCGGGUCUCUGGGCAACAACUGACGCUGGAGGAGCGAAAGCGUGGGGAGCGAACAGG
rnacentral:rRNA from 1 species